AUGUGCAUUAUUGAUCAGCCAAUCUUGAGAGAGAGAUGGGUUGGCGUGAAUGGGAAGAAAACUACAUUGAAUGGACAAGAAUUUCCAUCAGUUUCACUUUACAUUUCUUCUUUGCUUUUUCAUGGCAUCGGGAUGCCCACUGCCGACGGCGCUGCGUUGCUACCAAAGGGGCACCCUGCCGCGGCCGGGGACUCGCUGCCGUCGAAGCACGACACCUUGCCGUCACGUAUGUUGGGUGUUGUGGUGCUGCAGAUUUGGUAUUGUUGUUCUGUUCACUUAACCCAGUCUGUAGCAGCAGCUUUUCAUGUCGUUUCCUCGCCAACAAAUGUCAUAAUUUAUCACUCUAUGAAGAAUUGCAAGGAGGAGGAUAAUAGAGCAGCAACCAGAGCUGACAAUUGGACUGUAAAUGCAGCAAAGUUCUCCUAG
rnacentral:rRNA from 1 species